UGCGGCCCCGCCCCCCCAAUUUGGGGUUCCCGCCUCCAUUUUUGGGGCGCCCGGAGCCGUUUUGUGUCCCCGUGACCUCAAUUGGCGCCUCGAUGACGUCAUCAACCCCCCCAGCCGGUUUUGGGGUGCCCGGACCGGUUUUGGGGUUUUUUAAUUUAUUUUUAGGAUCGACCUCGUUUUUUUUAGGGUUUUAAUUAAAGGUUUGGGGCUUUUAAUUAAAGUUGUUGGGGCGCUGAUGACGUCAUCAAGGUGGGGAUGAAAGGCUUGAGGCGAUGACGUCACCGCACCCCAAAAAUGCGGCCCCGCCCCCCAAAAAACCCCAGAGCGGCCGCGGCCGAAUUUGGGGUGAAACCGCUGCAGAUCAGUUUUGGGGCCAUGGGGCGUCUGUGCCGCUGCUGCCGCCGCCGGGGUCGCUCCAAGGGUCCCUCCCGGGGUCACCCCAAAAAUCACCCCAAAAAAAAAUCACCCCAAAAAUCAGCCCAAGGGGCAGCGCCACCCCCGGCCCUGCUCCCCUCCCCCAGCCCAGCCGCCCUGCCCGCCGAUGACGUCACCGCUGACGUCAGCCCUCCCCGCUUACGUCAUUUGGCCGCCGCCGGCGCUGGUGACGCUCGGGGCGCCGCGGGUGGCGCUGCUGGGGGAGCCGCAGCCCCAAAUCCGCUGCUUUUAACCCCAAACCUCGCGGCUGCCACCCCCAAACGGAGCAUUUUUUUAGCCCCAAAAUUGGGAUUUUGUAGCCCAAAAAUUGGGAUUUUUUAAAGCAAAAAAUUGGGAUUUUUUAGCCCAAAAUUUCGGAUUUUUUAGCCCCAAAAUUCGGAUGUUUUAGCCCCAAAUUGGGAUUUUUUUAAAGCAAAAAAUUGGGAUUUUUUAGCCCAAAAAAUUGGAAUUUUUUAGCUCAAAAAUUCGGAUUUUUUAGCCCCAAAAUUCGGAUGUUUUAGCCCCAAAAUUGGGAUUUUUAAACCCAAAAAUUGGGGUUUUUGAACCCAAAAAUUGGGAUGUUUUAAAGCAAAAAAUUGGGAUUUUGUAACCCCAAAAUUGGGAUUUUUAAAGCAAAAAAUUGGGAUUUUGUAACCCAAAAUAUUGGGAUUUUUUAGCCCCAAAAUUGGGAUUUUUUAGAGCAAAAAAUUGGAAUUUUUAGCCCCAAAAUUGGGAUUUUUAAAGCAAAAAAUUGGGAUUUUUUAGACCAAAAAUUGGGAUUUUUUAGCCCCAAAAUUGGGAUGUUUUAGCCCCAAAAUUGGGAUUUUUAAACCCAAAAAUUGGGAUGUUUUAAAGCAAAAUAUUGGAAUUUUUUAGCCCAAAAACUGGAAUUUUUAAACCCAAAAAUUGGGAUUUUUAAAGCAAAAAAUUGGGAUUUUUUAACCCAAAAUUUCGGAUUUUGUAACCCAAAUAUUGGGAUUUUUUAGCCCCAAAAUUGGGAUUUUUAAAGCAAAAAAUUGGAAUUUUUAACCCAAAAUUUUGGAUUUUGUAACCCAAAAAUUGGCAUUUUUUAGAGCAAAACGUUGGGAUUUUUUAAAGAAAAAAUUUGAAACUUUUAACCCAAAAUUCGGGGGUUUUUUUACCCAAAAAUCGGGAUUUUUACCCCAAAAUUUGUGAUUUUUUUAAAGCAAAAUUUGUAAUUUUUAAAAAAAUUGUGAUUUUAAACCCAAAUUUGUGAUUUCGGACCCAAAAUAAAGAUUUCCAACCCCAG
rnacentral:lncRNA from 1 species